rnacentral:lncRNA from 1 species
GCUAAAGGGUCCUGACAUUCUUACCAUGAGCCUUCAGUUAUUUGACCACUUAGAUGCUAAUGCUAACAUAUAAUCCAUUUUCUAAGAUGCAUACGAGUUUUCCAUUAUAGCACCAACAAAGCUAGGCCUCUCAGUAAGUCUUUUCUUGUAGCAGUAAGUAUUCAGUUUUCUCUCUUGUGGUCAAUAGAAGCACAAUGGCAAUCAGGGGGCAAAGUGGAUUUCAGCAGGUAUCAGUCAUUCUCUUUCUAGCAAUUAGCCUAGCGCUAUUACUACGCACUGAUAUCUGCUGAGACAGGCACUAAAACUCCGGCUGACACAGACCAGCUGAUUAGCCAAGCUUAAUUAGCCACGAUGCCUUUUAAAUGGGGAAAUCUGACUCUGCCUUUAAACCUCAGUUGGGACCAGAGACUGCGGAGCUACAAAGACCAUUUCAGUACCUUAAUGAUGCCAAAAUGGACCGCUUCAGACCACAGAGAGAAAUCAAGUGCGGCCGCGCAUCGUGGAUAAUAACCAAUUGGAAAAGAUCUUUGCGUCGUGGCCAGUUGUUAAUUACUGGAUGCCGGUCUCGAGGGAUCGCCCCGCUUCUGUCAUACUGGAAAACAUCCUCAGGACUGUGGGCCAGUGAAGCUCAAAGAGCCAGCAAACACAGCCUGGAGUGGAUCCACACAACACUGGCCGCUUCUUACAGACCUGCUCUAACCCCAGGAUCUAAUUACUUACUCGCAUCUCUCCUAUCAUCUCCCGCUUCCUCCAGCAGGAUCCCCAUGGGUCUCUUGAGCUCAGACCCACACGUAACACACUGACAUGGGGGAAGAGCUCAACCUCCGGCCCGACAACUGCUAGAAUCCCUAUAAAAGCAUCAUAUAGAUCACACAAACUCCUACAGACUGAUAUUUUGUCACUGACAUGGGGGAAGAGCUCAACCUCCGGCCCGACAACUGCUAGAAUCCCUAUAAAAGCAUCAUAUAGAUCACACAAACUCCUACAGACUGAUAUUUUGUCUUGAUAAUGUUAAAUAAAAUCUGAGAUGUAAACUAAAUCAGUUAAUAAACGACUUUAGGCUGUUUACUCCAAACACGUUCUCCAAAAAAGUUUGUUUGCUACAGUUUGAAUAAAAAGUA